CUGGCGCGAGCACCGCGACCACCGAACUUCUUGGGCUCGCAGCGGCGGGGAUCGGCGACGAGGAGGGUGCGGUCGUACCUGACGAGGAUGUCCUUGAUCUCCUUCUUGGACUGCUCGUCGACGUACUUCUGGUAGUAAGCGACGAGAGCCUUGGCUAUGCUCUGCCUGAUGGCGUAUAUCUGGGAGGUGUGACCGCCGCCCUUCACGCGGAUGCGCAUGUCCACGCCGGCGAAGCGGUGGCGACCGAGGAGGAGGAUUGGCUCGAAGGCCUUGAAGCGGAGGAUCUCCGGCUCCACCAGCUCGAUCGGGCAGCCGUUGAUCUUAAUGAGGCCUCGGCCGCGCUUGCAGUAGGUCACUGCCACCGCCGUCUUCUUCCGCCCGAAGCACUGCACUUGCUCGAU
rnacentral:lncRNA from 1 species